GAUAAACGCUAGCGGCAGGCUUAACACGUGCAAGUCGAGGGGCAGCAUAGAUUGUAGCAAUACAAUUGGUGGCGACCGGCGCACGGGUGCGUAACGCGUAUGCAACCCGCCCGUCACAGGGGGAUAAUCCGGAGAAAUCUGGUCUAAUACCCCAUAACAUAUGGAUCGGCAUCGGUUCAUGUUGAAAUUUUCGGAGGUGACGGAUGGGCAUGCGUAGCAUUAGCUUGUUGGUGAGGUAACGGCUCACCAAGGCGACGAUGCUUAGGGGGACUGAGAGGUUUUCCCCCCACACUGGAACUGAGACACGGACCAGACUCCUACGGGAGGCAGCAGUGAGGAAUAUUGGUCAAUGGGCGCAAGCCUGAACCAGCCAUGCCGCGUGCAGGAUGACGGCUCUAUGAGUUGUAAACUGCUUUUGUACGAGGGUAAAGUGGGUUACGUGUAACCUUUUGAAAGUAUCGUACGAAUAAGGAUCGGCUAACUCCGUGCCAGCCACCGCGGUAA
rnacentral:rRNA from 1 species